UACACAGAGUACAGUGAUCCUGUCAAGAUUACAGUGAGAGUAAAACCCAAACCGACUGUGAGAGUGAAUCCUCAGAGCUCCGUCUACACUGGAGACACCGUCACUCUGAGAUGUGACAUACAGGAUGAAAGUGUCUCUAGCUGGCAGUACAGCUGGUAUAAAGAUACUUCACACAGUCCUGUCAGUAGUGAACAGGUGUACAGUAUCAGUGGUGUUGAAGUGACCCACACAGGUACAUACACCUGUAGAGGAACAGAGAGAGGAGGCUCACGCUCCUCACACUCCAGUGAUGUUAUUACACUGACUGUAUCAGUUGAAUCUACUCCAGUCUCUCUGAUCAUCAAUCCCAGCAGAACUCAACACUUUACUAAUGACUCUCUCUCACUGAGCUGUGAGGACCAGAGUAAGUCUACUGGAUGGACAGUGAGACGAUACACACACAGUGAGAGAGUGUUAGAUUGUUCACACUGGGGAUC